AUUGAACGCUGGCGGCAGGCCUAACACAUGCAAGUCGAGCGGAGCGGCGGAGGGGUGAGUAAGGCCUAGGAAUAUGCCUGGGCGUGGGGGAUAACGUCAGGAAACGGGAGCUAGUACUGAUUACUAACAGCUGAACAUAGGUCGGAGUAGCUAGUGGGUGGGGUAAAGGCCUACCAAGGCGACGAUCCGUAACUGGUCUGAGAGGAUGAGCAGUCACACUGGAACUGAGACACGGUCCAGACUCCUACGGGAGGCAGCAGUGGGGAAUAUUGGACAAUGGGCGAAAGCCUGAUCCAGCCAUGCCGCGUGUGUGAAGAAGGUCUUCGGAUUGUAAAGCACUUUAAGUUGGGAGGCGUUACCAACAGAAUAAGCACCGGCUAACUUCGUGCCAGCAGCCGCGGUAAUAC
rnacentral:rRNA from 1 species